rnacentral:pre_miRNA from 1 species
UUAGACAUAUGGUGUACAUCUUAGACAUAUGGUGUACAUCUUAACACCAUAUGUCUAAAAUGUACACCAUAUGUCUAC